rnacentral:lncRNA from 1 species
AAUUUUACCUUCUUUCCAGAUUACCAGGACAUGGGCACCUGGCCUGUAUUUUCGUAUGGUUUCAGAGCAUCUGACAGCUCAUUUCAUGCACAGUGAGUGGAGGGCAGUUGAAGGUCACAUCACAAACCAGAUGUGUAUGAUGAAGAUGGAGUUCUUCCCAGAUUCAGGGCAUAGUUAGGGAAACAAGUGUUUAGUUUGUUGAUUUCAGAAGUCCUGAUUUGUCAAAGCCAAUCAUAGCCUUGUAAUAAUAAAGGGGAAAAACUGCUUGAGAUU